UACAGGGGGUACCGGUACAGAGUCAAUGUGGAGGCUAUAUACAGGGGGUACCGGUACAGAGUCAAUGUGGAGGCUAUAUACAGGGGAUACCGGGACAGAGUCAAUGUGGAGGCUAUAUACAGGGGGUACCGGUACAGAGUCAAUGUGGAGGAUAUAUACAGGGGGUACCGGUACAGAGUCAAUGUGGAGACUAUAUACAGGGGGUACCGGUACAGAGUCAAUGUGGAGGCUUUAUACAGGGGGUACCGUACAGAGUCAAUGUGGAGGCUAUAUACAGGGUAUUACGGUACAGAGUCAAUGUGGAGGCUAUAUACAGGGUAUUACGGUACAGAGUCAAUGUGGAGGCUAUAUACAGGGGGUACCGGUACAGAGUCAAUGUGGAGGCUAUAUACAGGGGGUACCGGUACAGAGUCAAUGUGGAGGCUAUAUACAGGGGGUACCGGUACAGAGUCAAUGUGGAGGCUAUAUACAGGGGGUACCGGUACAGAGUCAAUGUGGAGGCUAUAUACAGGGUAUUACGGUACAGAGUCAAUGUGGAGGCUAUAUACAGGGGGUACCGGUACAGAGUCAAUGUGGAGGCUAUAUACAGGGUAUUACGGUACAGAGUCAGUGUGGAGGCUAUAUACAGGGUGUUACGGUACAGAGUCAAUGUGGAGGCUAUAUACAGGGGGUACCGGCACAGAGUCAAUGUGGGGGCUAUAUACAGGGGGUACCGGUACAGAGUCAAUGUGGAGGCUAUAUACAGGAG
rnacentral:lncRNA from 1 species